rnacentral:lncRNA from 1 species
GCAAUGGCCCUUAUGUGCCCCCACAGCCAUGUUAGAAACAGGAGGAGAACCUCAUCCUAACAUGAGCAAGGUCGAAGGCCCGAUUAUUUAGAGAUCAGAUGGGGGGAGAGGCCCUUGCAAUGGCCCUUAUGCACCCCCACAGGCAUGUUAGGAACAGGAAGAGAACCUCAUCCUAAUAUGAGGAGGGUCGAAGGCUCGAUUUUUUAGAUACCGGAUGGGGGGAGAGGCCCUUGCAAUGGCCCUUAUGCCAUGUUAGGAACAGGAGGAGAACCUCAUCCUAACAUGAGCAAAGUCGAAGGUCCAAUUAUUUAGAGACCGAAUGGGGAGAGAGAACCUUGCAACGGCCCUUAUGCACCCCCACAGUCAUGUUAGGAACAGGAGGAGAACCUCGUCCUAACAUGAGCAAGGUCGAAGGCCCGAUUAUUUAGAGACCAAAUGGGGGGAGAGGCCGUUGCAACGGCCCUUACGUGCCCCCACAGUCCUAUUAGGAACAGGAAAAAAAUCUCAUCUUAACAUGAGCUAAAAUUGACUGUCUUAGGAACAGGAGGAGAACCUCGUUUUGACAUAAACAAAGACCUGGUUGUUCA